AUUGAACGCUGGCGGCAUGCCUUACACAUGCAAGUCGAACGGCAGCACGGGUGCUUGCCCCUGGUGGCGAGUGGCGAACGGGUGAGUAAUACAUCGGAACAUGUCCUGUAGUGGGGGAUAGCCCGGCGAAAGCCGGAUUAAUACCGCAUACGAUCUACGGAUGAAAGCGGGGGACCUUCGGGCCUCGCGCUAUAGGGUUGGCCGAUGGCUGAUCAGCUAGUUGGUGGGGUAAAGGCCUACCAAGGCGACGAUCAGUAGCUGGUCUGAGAGGACGACCAGCCACACUGGGACUGAGACACGGCCCAGACUCCUACGGGAGGCAGCAGUGGGGAAUUUUGGACAAUGGGCGAAAGCCUGAUCCAGCAAUGCCGCGUGUGUGAAGAAGGCCUUCGGGUUGUAAAGCACUUUUGUCCGGAAAGAAAUCCUUGGCCCUAAUACGGUCGGGGGAUGACGGUACCGGAAGAAUAAGCACCGGCUAACUACGUG
rnacentral:rRNA from 1 species